AACAGGAUUAGAUACCCUGGUAGUCCACGCCGUAAACGAUGUCGACUUGGAGGUUGUGCCCUUGAGGCGUGGCUUCCGGAGCUAACGCGUUAAGUCGACCGCCUGGGGAGUACGGCCGCAAGGUUAAAACUCAAAUGAAUUGACGGGGGCCCGCACAAGCGGUGGAGCAUGUGGUUUAAUUCGAUGCAACGCGAAGAACCUUACCUACUCUUGACAUCCAGAGAACUUAGCAGAGAUGCUUUGGUGCCUUCGGGAACUCUGAGACAGGUGCUGCAUGGCUGUCGUCAGCUCGUGUUGUGAAAUGUUGGGUUAAGUCCCGCAACGAGCGCAACCCUUAUCCUUUGUUGCCAGCGGUUCGGCCGGGAACUCAAAGGAGACUGCCAGUGAUAAACUGGAGGAAGGUGGGGAUGACGUCAAGUCAUCAUGGCCCUUACGAGUAGGGCUACACCCGUGCUACAAUGGCAUAUACAAAGAGAAGCGACCUCGCGAGAGCAAGCGGACCUCAUAAAGUAUGUCGUAGUCCGGAUUGGAGUCUGCAACUCGACUCCAUGAAGUCGGAAUCGCUAGUAAUCGUGGAUCAGAAUGCCACGGUGAAUACGUUCCCGGGCCUUGUACACACCGCCCGUCACACCAUGGGAGUGGGUUGCAAAAGAAGUAGGUAGCUUAACCUUCGGGAGGGCGCUUACCACUUUGUGAUUCAUGACUGGGGUGAAGUCGUAACAAGGUAACC
rnacentral:rRNA from 1 species